CCUACGGGAGGCAGCAGUGAGGAAUAUUGGUCAAUGGCCGGAAGGCUGAACCAGCCAAGUCGCGUGAGGGAAUAAGGCCCUAUGGGUCGUAAACCUCUUUUGUCAGGGAGCAAAGGCGUCCACGAGUGGACGAAAGGAGAGUACCUGAAGAAAAAGCAUCGGCUAACUCCGUGCCAGCAGCCGCGGUAAUACGGAGGAUGCGAGCGUUAUCCGGAUUUAUUGGGUUUAAAGGGUGCGCAGGCGGCCUGUUAAGUCAGCGGUAAAAGCCCGGGGCUCAACCCCGGCGAGCCGUUGAAACUGGCGGG
rnacentral:rRNA from 1 species